CCUUACCCAAAUGUUGCUAACGCUCAACUGAUCGGCGGUGGAGACUCAACUAUAGAAGGUGCACUGUUGCAGUAUGAAUGCUUGUCUGGGUACACACCCAUCCGGAAGCACAAGCUACUUACGGUGUACUAACGAUGGUAUAUGGUUCGAUCAAAACGAAGUCCAUUGUCAGAAGCUAAUUGGAAGUACGUGUUCGGCUCAUUCGGACUGUCUGUUAACAGGAAGAAUGCUUCUGUCGUCCAUUAUACCGUUACAAAACUGAGAUCAACGACUGUUUCCAAGAAUGUUCUUCAUUUACUGACACAUUUACACCACAUGUGAAUACUGGAUUUAGUGGAUACAAUGAUGUAGGUUACGGGGAUGCGGUCGAUUCCGAGGGACAAUGCGAGGAUAUGUGCAGAGGUGAUCCGCAUUGUUUGUCAUUUGAGAUUUGGGAAAACUUGGAUUAUUCAGACCCAAUAAAGAUGUGUAAUAGGGCAAGCUUAACGUACGAAGCGAUACUGGAUAGUGAUCCGGGCAGUAUUGUUCAAUAUACUUGGAUAACGAUUUAUAGCAGAAACUGUAUCUAAACUGGAUCGCGAAAACUAGUACUUCAAGCACAUUUAUACAUAUUCACUGACUGCUGAUUUUAAGGAGA
rnacentral:lncRNA from 1 species